UACGUAGGGUGCAAGCGUUAAUCGGAAUUACUGGGCGUAAAGCGUGCGCAGGCGGUUAUGUAAGACAGGUGUGAAAUCCCCGGGCUUAACCUGGGAACUGCAUUUGUGACUGCAUAGCUAGAGUACGGUAGAGGGGGAUGGAAUUCCGCGUGUAGCAGUGAAAUGCGUAGAUAUGCGGAGGAACACCGAUGGCGAAGGCAAUCCCCUGGACCUGUACUGACGCUCAUGCACGAAAGGCGUGGGAGCAA
rnacentral:rRNA from 1 species